GUGGAGGAGCGGAGACGCGAACCCGGUUACCCAGAUUACAUGACUACUGCUCUUAACCACUACACCACACUGGAACUAUUAUCUUGCAAAGUCAGCCAAAUAAGAAUACUUUAACAAACCUCAGAGAAUAGAAAACAAGAGACAGCAGAAAAUAUAAAUUUGUUCCAGUCCUUACGAAACAGUUCGUCACGCUGAUUCCGGAUCUUCCCCGUCAACUUGGCCAUCUCUCCGUACUCCAUCAUCUUGACCUGCCAAUCUUCCAGUGUUGGAAGUUCCUGCUGCUUCCAUUUCUGACCCAGAAGUGUCCUUGCAGCCGUUGUGGCAUACAUACACAUGUUUACAUCACUUUUAUGUAUUUCCUCACCAAUUAAGCCUAAUUAAAAUGCCUCUGGUUUUUUAUUAAAAUUAUAUUUCAAAACCGUU